AUCAACUUUCGAUGGUAGGAUAGAGGCCUACCAUGGUGGUAACGGGUAACGGGGUGUUAGGGCACGACACCGGGGAGGGAGCCUGAGAAACGGCUACCACAUCCAAGGAAGGCAGCUGGCGCGCAAAUUACCCAAUCCCGACACGGGGAGGUAGUGACAAUAAAUAACAAUACAGGGUUCUUUUGGAUCUUGUAAUUGGAAUGAGUACAAUUUAAAUCUCUUAACGAGGAACAAUUGGAGGGCAAGUCUGGUGCCAGCAGCCGCGGUAAUUCCAGCUCCAAUAGCGUAUAUUAAAGUUGUUGCAGUUAAAAAGCUCGUAGUUGAAUUUCGGGAUCAAUAUUUCGGUCAUGCCGUUGGUAUGCACUGUUAUCAUUGAUUUCUCACCUUCUAAAGAACCGUAAUGCCAUUAAUUUGGUGUUACGGGGAAUUAGGACUGUUACCUUGAAAAAAUUAGAGUGUUUAAAGCAGGCUCACGCUUGAAUACAUUAGCAUGGAAUAAUGAAAUAGGACAUCCGAUUCUAUUUUGUUGGUUUCUAGGAUCGAUGUAAUGAUUAAUAGGGAUAGUUGGGGGCAUUAGUAUUCAAUUGUCAGAGGUGAAAUUCUUGGAUUUAUUGAAGACUAACUACUGCGAAAGCAUUUGCCAAGGAUGUUUUCAUUAAUCAAGAACGAAAGUUAGGGGAUCGAAGGCGAUCAGAUACCGUCGUAGUCUUAACCAUAAACUAUGCCGACUAGGGAUCGGAUGAUGUUAAUUUUUUAAUGACUCAUUCGGCGCCUUACGGGAAACCAAAGUGUUUGGGUUC
rnacentral:rRNA from 1 species